rnacentral:rRNA from 1 species
CGCGCCGACCCAACCCACCGCACCCUAUUUGGUGUCGGUGCGUCGCCCAGCAGAAGAGGUAAGGUUAGACGUAGUCAAGCAGAUUGUCGCCGCCGGCACGACAAGGCCGCGGCCGCUCUACAGAUGGUUACCACAGCUCUAAUUACCCUAAAGACGACGCAGGCCACGCUCCUCGUGAAGGCAGAACGGUAACCUCAGGGUCCUAAGGUACUCGCAGGGUUUGCUGCACAAGCGACGGCGGCCAACACGAGCCGGCGUACACCUACGUCACCACCCGCUCCACACGAGACUUUGGUGGUCGCCGACCUGCGCGUCCCAGUCCCACCCAUUUCGAGGGCUCCUCUCCCUCUACUUAGGUUUGUCCUAAAGUCGAGACCUUAACAGACAGGCACGAAUAUGUCUCUUCUCCCUACCUGGACAACACAUGGGUUCGUAACCAUGUUCGAAACUGAGGAACCUGCUUCGAAUACUUAAGAUAUUAGACAUAAGCACCCUCACGCCUAAACCACAAUCUGAACGGUUCUCGUCUAACUUACAACUUUCCUUCUCUACGUACGUUCUCUAACACACACGAACACGCCCCCUUGGUAACUCCCUUUUGUCGGCGAGCCGGUCUACGCCUACGUUACGAUACUAGUCCAACGGCGCCAGUUUACUGUUCCCCACCAUGUAUCGUCUUGUGUUUCUACUGGUAUUGGUGGGCAACAGCAACUGCACACCUGUCUUUACAUCCCCUUGCAUCAUUAAAGUUUUUUAAAGAUGCGUGUGCGUUCUAGUACCACUACGUAUCGUUGCUCUCCCCUCUCACAACAGAUGCAUGGGAGCAUCUGGCUUCACCUUCGCAACUACGUUGCAUCUCCUUCAUCAGCAUGCAGAAGGGCUAGGCUGGCUAGGUUCAUGGCAAUGAGGCCGUGGAAGCUCAAGAAUCGUGUACAUGUCGAGUUACUGCGAGGGGCCUGAGGCUAGGUCGUUUCGAAGCCCCUACUUAAGGCAGUCGUGCUGCCGCACGACUGCUACUACCACAAGAUGGUUGCGUCCCGAAGCGGAUUCGUGACGUUGCUAUACUAGCUCCACCUUAUACCACCUUCCCCC